rnacentral:lncRNA from 1 species
AGCUCAUGGAAUUUGGCUCCAAACUUUGAAUUCAGUCUCUGAACGUGUAUGUUCCCAAGAAUCCCAGCCUAUCCACUUUGUCUUUUCAUUCAGCUCCAGCUGUCAGAAUAAAAGUAAACUGAAAAUAUAAUGAGUUAGCAGGCACCCACCAGUACCCGUCAUGCUGUGCCGCAGGCUCAGCUCUGCCGCUCACGCCACACGUGCUGCCUUGUGACAGGUAUGUCUGGCUUUCUUUUCUUAUGAAAACCCUUCCUUUUACUAAGAAACUCUAACACCCACAGGGGUGGAAAGGUUACAGUUGUUAGUGCAUGGGGAGGAAAAGGGUGCGGUUCAAAGAAUACUCAUUUCAUAUUUUUUUUACAAACGCAAACCAUCAGUAGUGCUGGGCCAAGAUCUGAAAUCAGUUUAACUAUCACAGAUCAGAGAGAAAUUCAAGCUGGUUUUGCAUCUUGUGCAAACAGCUAAUAUGACUACCCAAAGCUCUGUGCUACUGCAGGACUCUUAUAUUUUUGGAUAUUAAAUCUGGGGUUAAUACAAAAACUGUGUCGACCACGGAAGCAAAGUAAUAAAAUUCAUCCUCCCAUUCUGAAUCCCAAGGGAGCGGAGUGGCUGAAGAGCAAAGAAGUGCCUUGGACAAACUUGCGGUUCAGAUAAACCAAAUCUUACUCAAACACUCUGCUAUAAGUAUCCUGCAAUCCAGAUCUCCCACUGCAAAUGAUUCAUUUCCCCUCUUGGCCUGGCUGUGUGCGCACGUGUCUGGUGGUGGUGAGCCAGAGCUGACCAGUGCCCUGGGACAAAGAAAGGAAAAGAAGGUAAAAGGGCGGGGGAGAAUAAUCUACCCAGUCUCAGGGGACAUUUUUCACCAGUUUAGGGCAUUUCCACCAGAACAGUUUUGGUAAUGAACAGACCAUAAAUGUGCUUGGGGUGGCUUGAACAUCUGAGCAUUCCUUGAACUCUACAAGACAAGGGUUUGGCAGGAGAGUGUGAACCAAACUUGCAAAUGUUCCCCUGAGCUGGGCCAAGAGGGACAUCUGUAGCUGCUGUCUGUGCCAGGAGGGACCUGGAUGAUAUAAAUUUCUAUUAGGAACCUUUGUAUUAAGCCUAGUUUGCACAAGCAGACCCUGUAACUAUCAAAGGCAAUAGUUCAAAUAUGCCUUCAUGUGUGUCCAAGUCUUCGUGCUGCAAGGCACAGAGUUAGAUGGGUGGGGC